CUCAGUACGGCGAGUGAAGCGGCAACAGCUCAAAUUUGAAAUCUGGCUCCUUCGGGGUCUGAGUUGUAAUUUGUAGAGGAUGUUUCGGGUGCGGCGCCGAUCUAAGUCCCUUGGAACAGGGCGUCACAGAGGGUGAGAAUCCCGUACGUGAUUGGCGACCAACCCCAUGUGAAACCCCUUCGACGAGUCGAGUUGUUUGGGAAUGCAGCUCAAAAUGGGUGGUAAAUUUCAUCUAAAGCUAAAUACCGGCCAGAGACCGAUAGCGCACAAGUAGAGUGAUCGAAAGAUGAAAAGCACUUUGGAAAGAGAGUCAAAAAGUACGUGAAAUUGUUGAAAGGGAAGCGCUUGCGACCAGACCUGUCCGUGGGCGAUCAACCUCCGUUCUCGGGGGUGCACUCGUUCGCGAUCAGGCCAGCAUCGGUUUGGGCGGCGGGAUAAAGGCCUUGGGAACGUAGCUUCCUUCGGGAAGUGUUAUAGCCCUCGGUGCAAUGCCGCCAGCCCGGACCGAGGACCGCGCUUCGGCUAGGAUGCUGGCGUAAUGGUCGUAAGCGACCCGUCUUGAAACACGGACCAAGGAGUCUAACAUCUAUGCGAGUGUUUGGGUGUCAAACCCAUACGCGUAAUGAAAGUGAACGGAGGUGAGAACCCUUAAGGGCGCAUCAUCGACCGAUCCAGAUGUCUUCGGAUGGAUUUGAGUACGAGCAUAGCUGUUGGGACCCGAAAGAUGGUGAACUAUGCCUGAAUAGGGUGAAGCCAGAGGAAACUCUGGUGGAGCUCGCAGCGGUUCUGACGUGCAAAUCGAUCGUCAAAUUUGGGUAUAGGGGCGCGCUUUCGCCCCUCACAGCCUGUUAUCAGGCCCUAGUCCUUCGGGGCGAGGUCUACGGUCUGCGGGGAUGUUCACCUGGUGUGGACUGCCCGCACCCGCCUUUUAGGGGCCGGGUCACAGAUCAAGCGUAGGUCGGCGGUUCCGUUCUUCGGGAUACGCUUCAGAUAUGAUCGGGCUGCGGCUGGUGAAGCCGCGGAGCACCGGAAAGACUAAUCGAACC
rnacentral:rRNA from 1 species